GGUUGACCUCGAAUCAGGUAGGAAUACCCGCUGAACUUAAGCAUAUCAAUAAGNCGGAGG
rnacentral:rRNA from 1 species